UUCUGUUGUUCAUUUGUUUCCACGUUGUAUUUUUGGUUCCUACCUUUUAUGUGCAACAUUAUUAGAGGCGGAACUAAUCUGCUGUGUUUUGUGUUACACCUGUUUAAUCGACGCACUGGAUAGUUGCAACGGCAGAGCAACGCAGGACGUUAAAUGAAAACUAAGGAAACCAAGGGAAAAUGCAUAUAAAGUUAUCAGCCCCUCUAGGUGACUAGCAGCCUACGAGUUCUCACGGGUUGGAAUAGGUCCCACAAGAAUAAACCCCGUAUUUAAUCAAGACCUCAGCCUCGUGUCAUUUACUGGAGGGAGCUACAGUGAGAACUCGACUGCUCCGCAUGAGUAGACGAGUAAAACGGCGCCAGACGGCAGCGAUCCAUGGACGGCACGGGACAUCUCCGUCACAGCGUGUGCAUCUGUAGCAGCCAUCUACACAGCAGCACAAGAUCCAACUACUUCUGGAAGGUCCAGGUGCUUUAGUGUAAAUUUAGGUGCAACAAAGAGACUUUAAAGUGCCAUACAAAGAAAAUGGGACAUUUGCAUUGUGCAUAUAAUCUGUGUUAAUGUUAUUUACUUACCUUUCUAAUGGAAGUUAAAUGUUGUUAAUAUUGAUUUGUGUAUUAAGGUAUCUGCAGUAAGUAUUUGCAGACUGUUAUGACCGGCUCGUUGGCCACAACAGAAAAACCAGGAGAGACGCUCAAAGUUUCCAACAAUCUCCGCACUUUAUUCGGAAACACCAAAAAACCGCAGAGAGUGGACGAGGGGAAAGGAUCACGGUCAGUUCCUCCGCAGCAGGCUUGGAGAGAGUCAGGGCCGCCCCACCUCCGGCCAGGUGUCCCCGAUCACGCUGAUUGGCUUCUUCAGCUCCACCCCAUCGCAGGACCUGCAACAUUCACACACACUCACAGGCCCCAGGCUCUGGGGCCGUCACAGCCCCCCCCAUAAAGUCAGGGUCCCCAUCGGAACCCUGGCACCCCAAAUCAAACACUCUUAUGUCACCUACACAAAUGAGAAGAAAGACACUGACAAACACUGGAAGGGAUCGGCUACCUAAACACCCUAACACAGCAUUGAGCUACUAAUCCACGACUAGUUCAGCUAACUAGUGUGUUACGUGUUUUAUUUUUUUCUUGUUUUUUUUUCGCCAUGUCACGGAACCUGGAAUGUACUCCACCUUGGUAAAGAGGUUCACCAGCAAAAUGCUCCCACUGAGGUACCCAGUAUCCCAUCCGAACAUUCUCCCGAAGCGACCACGCGUGAGCACGACCCUUCACCCCCACACCAGGAAGAACACCCUCCCUCAGACCUUUUAGAGACGCAUCAGCACACUGUGCCUCCACCAGCUCACCGUGAGAAACCGACCAGGGAAUCUCGAGACACGUCACCUCAUGCUGCGGUGAGGCCUCAUUGAUUUCAGCUAAGCUCAUGUUCCCCGCCUGCUCACGUCUCAUAGCCCGUGUCAAGGCGCAUGCUGUAAACACGUCAGGGUACUCCGUUUCGCUCUUGUCUGGCUUAAUACUAACCAGCGGCACUGGCGGCACGAUAGCAGGCGGUGCCCCAUCAGCCCACACCCGACUACCCGCAAUGUCGUUACCCAGGAUCAUCGUGACCCCUUUUAUGGGCAGAGCCGGCCGCACGCCAACCGCUACUUCACCCUGAAACAGAUCCGAAAACAGCAUCAUCUUAUGGCUUGCAUAACAUUCAACCCCAUUCCCAGCACCGGAACAAACAACCCCAUGUACGUGUCCUCUGAAAACGGCAAAGCAGACGCUAAAAUGAACGAAUCAAAUGAUCCAGUGUCUCGUAAUAUUUUCACCCGCACCUUCUCAUCGUUCGCCACCAGAGAAACAAAACCUUCAGUCAUGAAAGGCAAAUAAGACUGUAGUUCUGGGCUAGACCCCUGUGGUUUCAACUCACCGUCUAAACACCCAGUCACCUGCUCAGCGACAGGUGCCACGAACAUUGCUGGCCUGGGACUACCACUAGUCCCUGUAAGAGAAUAUUUUCAUCUGAUCUGUUUAUAGAGUCUUUUAUGGUUCCUUAGAGUCUGUGAUACUGCAAACAUCUGCUUGUAGUCACUCAAAGACUCCUCUGUAGGUUGAGGUCACAGGUCAAACGCUUCUCCUAUGUCCGUGGGGGAGGGUUGACCUGGCGGCAUCUCUUUGAGACAAGCGGACCAUUGUCUCGCAUCGGCUAUUGAUUAUACGCGGGCUUUCUGGAAGCCUGCCUCUCCUCGUGUUGGUUAGAUGUUUUGUGUCUUUUGGUUCAGAGAGAUCGCUGGUGAAACACGGGACGGUGUGCAACUAAGUGAUCUCCCCGGCCGUAUGUAAUUAAUGUACUGUGAUCAAUAAACUCUCGGUGCUUUUGGCUAA